rnacentral:rRNA from 1 species
CCCGAUCAGCUUGUUGGUGUGGUAAUGGCGCACCAAGGCUAUGACCGGUAGGGGAGCUGAGAGGCUGACCCCCAACGACGCAACUGAGACACGGUGCGUACUCCUACGGGAGGCAGCAGUCGAGAAUAUUCGACAAUGGGCGAAAGCCUGAUCGAGCGACGCCGCGUGGAGGAUGAAGGCCCUCGGGUCGUAAACUCCUUUUCCGUCGGAUGAAGUCUAGCCUCCUACUUCCUAUAUUGCAUCAAUUUGGCGGAGCGAAUUUUUAGACAGAUUCGCGACGCGAGGAACGAAGUGUGGUGAUAACCACAUGAGUGACGAGCAACAAUGAAGCUGGCGAAAAAUUGCCCGCUUCUGAGAAGAAACUUACCGAUUAGUGAUUUCUUCGUUGCUUCUCCUCAAUGUGGUUCCUAAACCACAUUUUUGUCGUCGCGCCUAGAACUCAUCUUAUCGGUGAGUUUCCAAAUUUGAUGGAAUAUAUGAAGUAGGGGGCCUGACUGACAGUACGAUGGGAAUAAGUGGCUGCAAACUUCGUGCCAGCAGCCGCGGUAAUACGAAGGCCACAAGCGUUAUCCGGAUUUAUUGGGCGUAAAGGGCGCGUAGGGGGUCUCGUGCGUUUUUCGUAAAAUGUCACCGCUCAACGGUGUCUUCGCGGGAAAUACGACGAGACUAGAGGGAGUUAGAGGCAGAUGGAACACAUGGUGUAGGGGUGAAAUCCGUUGAUAUCACGUGGAACACCAAAGGCGAAGGCAUUAUGCUGGGGCUUUCCUGACCCUGAGGCGCGAAAGCGUGGGGAGCAAAAAGGACUAGAUACCCUUGUACUCCACGCCCUAAACCAUGCAGAUUAGCUGUUUCGAGUAUCGACCCUCGGAGUGGCGUAGCUAACGCGUUAAAUCUGCCGCCUGGGAAGUACGGCCGCAAGGCUAAAACUCAAAGGAAUAGACGGGGACUCGCACAAGUAGUGGAGCAUGUGGUUUAAUUCGACGGUAAACGAGGAACCUUACCAGGGCUUGAAACUCUAGUGAAGACAGUCAGAAAAGAUUGUCGUCUCACAAGGACACUAGAACAGGUGCUGCAUGGUUGCCGUCAGCAUGUGCCGUGAGGCGCUCCCUUAAAUGGGGUAACAUGCGCAACCCUUGCCUUGAGUUAUAUGUGUCUCAAGGGACUGCCGCCGAAUAGGCGGAGGAAGGUGAGGAUGACGUCAAAUCAGCAUGGCCCUUUGAUGCCCUGGGCUACACACAUCCUACAAUGGUUCGUACAGAGGGUUGCCAAGUCGCAAGGCGGAGCUAAUCCCCAAAACGAGCCUCAGUUCAGAUUGAGGGCUGAAACCUGCCCUCAUGAAGUUGGAAUUACUAGUAAUCGCGGAUCAGCAGGCCGCGGUGAAUACGUUCUCGAGUCCUGUACUCACAAUAAAAGCGCCAAGCAGCGCAGUAAUCUAAAAAGUUAAAAUCUUUUUCUCUCUUGUCUAUAGAGAGUAUAGCGGAAGGAUAGUCUCGAAUCGUAAGAUUC